UGGGGGAUAUUGCACAAUGGGGGAAACCCUGAUGCAGCGACGCCGCGUGAGCGAUGAAGUGCCUCGGCAUGUAAAGCUCUAUCAGCGGGGAAGAAGAUGACGGUACCCGACUAAGAAGCCCCGGCUAACUACGUGCCAGCAGCCGCGGUAAUACGUAGGGGGCAAGCGUUAUCCGGAUUUACUGGGUGUAAAGGGAGCGUAGACGGCGUAGCAAGUCCGAUGUGAAAACCCGCGGCUCAACCGCGGGCCCGCAUUGGAAACUGUCAUGCUUGAGUACUGGAGGGGCAGGCGGAAUUCCUGGUGUAGCGGUGGAAUGCGUAGAUAUCAGGAGGAACACCGGUGGCGAAGGCGGCCUGCUGGACAGUAACUGACGUUGAGGCUCGAAAGCGUGGGGAGCAAA
rnacentral:rRNA from 1 species